AAUAAUAAUUUCACCGCUCAAAAGAGUAAAAAAAAAUCACCAUCGAAUCACGGCGGCGAGGAAAGAGGAUGGAAACGGCGACGAUGGAGCCGACGGAGAAAGCGGCCACGGGAUUGAAUUGCGAAGCCAUGGAUUGCUUGUCGGAAAGGCUUUCGUUGCAGUACUUCUCGGAGGAUGCAAUGAGGGGGAGAGAGCCUUUUUUGCAUCAUGAAUACUUAGGGAAGUUUCAGGAUCCAAGUGGGAGAGGAAUGGCAAGACCAGGGGAGCGAUGAUGAGGAGAUUAGAGGAAGCAAUGUUGGUUGCUAAGAUCAGAGUAGAGCAAUGUAGGUGUGAGAUCCCACAUCGGGUUGGAGAGGGGAACGAUGAAUUUCUUAUAAGGGUGUGGAAACCUCUCCCUAAUAGACACGUUUUAAAAAUCGUGAAGCUGACGACGAUACGUAACGACCCGAGGUAACUAAGCUUGCUAAUGGAGCUCAUUCCAUUGAUAGUUAAUGAUAUUUGACUCUUUCAUUUGUAGGUAACCAGGGCCAUGGAUGAACAGACAAUAGUCAAGCUGCCGAGGUGGGUCUGCUAGGGAGAGGUUUCCACACCCUUAUAAAGAAUGCUUUGUUCUCCUCUUCCACCGAUGUGACAUCUCACAAUCCACCCCCUUUCGAGGUCUAGCGUUCUUGCUGGCACACCGUCCGGUGUCCACCCCUUCGGGGCUUAGCGUCUUCUCUGGCACGCCGCCUGGUGGAGGGUGGAUUGUGAGAUCCCAUAUUAGUUGGAGAGGGGAACAAAACAUUCUUUAUAAGGGUGUGGAAACCUCUCCCUACUAGACACGUUUUAAAAAUCGUGUAGCUGACGAUGAUACGUAACAAGCCGAGGUAAAUAAGCUUGCUAAUGGAGCUCAUUCCAUUGAUAGGUAAUGAUAUUUGACUCUUUCAUUUGUAGGUAACCAGUGCCAUGGGUGAACAGACAAUAGUCAAGCUGUCGAGGGUGUGUUUGUUAGGGAGAGGUUUCCGCACCCUUAUAAAGAAUGCUUUGUUCUCCUCUUCCACCGUUGUAAGAUCUCACA